rnacentral:rRNA from 2 species
AGAAGGGCGUUUGGUGGAUGCCUUGGCAGUAAGAGGCGAUGAAGGACGUGAUACUCUGCGAUAAGUCAUGGGGAGCUGAGAAUAGGCUUUGAUCCAUGAAUUUCCGAAUGGGGCAACCCACUUGACAGUUUGAUAUAAUAGCCUUUCGGGGCUGCUUAUAUCUGGCUUAAUCAAGUACUUAUUACCUGAAUACAUAGGGUUUUAAGAGCAAACCCGGGGAACUGAAACAUCUAAGUACCCGGAGGAAAGGACAUCAAUAGAGACUCCCCUAGUAGCGGCGAGCGAACGGGGACCAGCCGAGCCAUGAGAGUGACUAGAACACGUUGGGAAGCGUGGCCAUAGCGGGUGAUAGCCCCGUAUAGGAAGCUCGAUUGGACGUAUUAAGUAGGGCGGAACACGUGAAAUUCUGUCUGAAGAUCGGGGGACCACCCCCGAAGGCUAAGUACUCCUUACUGACCGAUAGCGAACCAGUACCGUGAGGGAAAGGUGAAAAGCACCCCGACGAGGGGAGUGAAACAGUACCUGAAACCGAACGCCUACAAUCAGUCGGAGGAUCCUCGAGAUCUGACGGCGUACCUUUUGUAUAAUGGGUCAUCGACUUGGUCUAUCUAGCAAGCUUAAGCCGAUAGGUGUAGGCGCAGCGAAAGCGAGUCUUAAUAGGGCGCAUGAGUUAGAUGGAUCAGACCCGAAACCGAGUGAUCUAGGCAUGACCAGGAUGAAGGUUAGGUAACACUAACUGGAGGUCCGAACCCACACCUGUUGAAAAAGGUCGGGAUGAGUUGUGCCUAGGGGUGAAAGGCCAAUCAAACUCGGAGAUAGCUGGUUCUCCGCGAAAUCUAUUUAGGUAGAGCGUCAUCCGAAUACCCCGGGGGGUAGAGCACUGGAUGGGUAAUGGGGCCCCACAGGCUUACUGAUCCUAACCAAACUCCGAAUACCCGGGAGUACUAGAUGGCAGACACACUGCGGAUGCUAACGUCCGUAGUGGAGAGGGAAACAACCCUGACCUACAGCUAAGGCCCCUAAUUCAUGGCUAAGUGGGAAAGCAGGUGGGACGACCAAAACAACCAGGAGGUUGGCUUAGAAGCAGCCAUCCUUUAAAGAUAGCGUAACAGCUCACUGGUCUAAAUAAGUUGUCCUGCGGCGAAGAUGUAACGGGGCUCAAGCCAUGAGCCGAAGCUUAGGAUGCCGUAAGGCAUGGUAGCGGAGCGUAGUGUGACAUAGGUUCUAUCCUCCUUAGCGUUCUUCGGAGCGCAUUGGAGGAUCCAGAACCUUUCGAUGAAGCCGGGCUGUAAGGCAUCCGGUGGAGAGAUCACUAGCGAGAAUGAUGACAUGAGUAGCGACAAAGAGUGUGAGAGACACUCUCGCCGAAAGUCCAAGGGUUCCUGCUUAAAGCUAAUCUGAGCAGGGUAAGCCGGCCCCUAAGGCGAGGCCGAAAGGCGUAGUCGAUGGGAACCAGGUUAAUAUUCCUGGGCCGUGUGGUGGUGACGGAUCGUGGCGACGCAUGUUCCUUAUCGGAUUGGAGCAUGUUCAAGACGGUUCCUGGAAAUAGCCCCACUUUAAGACCGUACCCUAAACCGACACAGGUGGACUGGUAGAGAAUACCAAGGCGCUUGAGAGAACGAUGUUGAAGGAACUCGGCAAAAUACCUCCGUAAGUUCGCGAGAAGGAGGCCCGGCGUAAGAGCGUCGGGGGCACAAACCAGGGGGUGGCGACUGUUUAUUAAAAACACAGGGCUCUGCGAAGUCGCAAGACGACGUAUAGGGUCUGACGCCUGCCCGGUGCCUGAAGGUUAAAAGGAGGGGUGCAAGCUCUGAAUUGAAGCCCAGGUAAACGGCGGCCGUAACUAUAACGGUCCUAAGGUAGCGAAAUUCCUUGUCGGGUAAGUUCCGACCUGCACGAAUGGCGUAACGACUUCCCCGCUGUCUCCAACAUCGACUCAGCGAAAUUGAAUUGCCUGUCAAGAUGCAGGCUUCCCGCGGUUAGACGGAAAGACCCCGUGCACCUUUACUACAGCUUCGCACUGGCAUCAGGCACAGUAUGUGCAGGAUAGGUGGUGGGCUUUGAAGCAGGAACGCCAGUUCCUGUGGAGCCUCCCUUGAGAUACCACCCUUAUUCUGCUUGAUGUCUAACCGCGGUCCGUUAUCCGGAUCCGGGACCCUGCGUGGCGGGUAGUUUGACUGGGGCGGUCGCCUCCUAAAGCGUAACGGAGGCGCGCGAAGGUUGGCUCAGAGCGGUCGGAAAUCGCUCGUUGAGUGCAAUGGCAGAAGCCAGCCUGACUGCAAGACUGACAAGUCGAGCAGAGUCGAAAGACGGCCAUAGUGAUCCGGUGGUCCCAAGUGGGAGGGCCAUCGCUCAACGGAUAAAAGGUACGCCGGGGAUAACAGGCUGAUACUGCCCAAGAGUCCAUAUCGACGGCAGUGUUUGGCACCUCGAUGUCGGCUCAUCUCAUCCUGGGGCUGGAGCAGGUCCCAAGGGUACGGCUGUUCGCCGUUUAAAGAGGUACGUGAGCUGGGUUUAGAACGUCGUGAGACAGUUCGGUCCCUAUCUGCCGUGGGUGUAGGAUACUUGAGAGGAGUUGCCCCUAGUACGAGAGGACCGGGGUGAACGAUCCACUGGUGGACCAGUUGUCGUGCCAACGGCAGUGCUGGGUAGCUAUGAUCGGACAGGAUAACCGCUGAAGGCAUCUAAGCGGGAAGCCCCCCUCAAAACAAGGUAUCCCUGAGAGCCGUGGAAGACCACCACGUCGAUAGGCCGGAGAUGUAAGUGCAGCAAUGCAUUCAGUUGACCGGUACUAAUGGCUCGAUAGGCUUGAUU